rnacentral:misc_RNA from 1 species
GUCUCGCUUGCCUUCUUCUACAACCCUAAAAGUGACCUGCUGAUAAAACCUGCGAAGGAGCUCGUGACAGAAGAGCAACCAGCUCUCUAUCAAGCAAUGACAUAUGACGAGUACAGACUUUACAUCAGGACAAAGGGUCCAUGUGGGAAGCAACAAGUCGAAUCUUUAAAGUGCUCUUGAUGAUAGUUUUCUACGUGGGAUCGGAUUAAAGACUUGUUUGGUCGUCUUAAUUGAAUCUAAAUAAAUAAAAAGAAAUUCAUUACAUAUCGAUAUUAUGUAUAAUGAAAUCCAUCUAUUGCAUAGAUGAAACUUAGGGAUCGAUACUAUAUUUAGUGUAGGUAAUUUUUUUUCAUGAAAA